rnacentral:rRNA from 1 species
CCUACGAGAGGCAGCAGUAGGGAAUCUUUCACAAUGGGCGAAAGCCUGAUGGAGCAACGCCGCGUGCAGGAUGAAGGCCUUCGGGUUGUACACUGCUUUUAUAAGCGAGAAAUAUGAUGGUAACUUAUGAAUAAGUAUCGGCUAACUACGUGCCAGCAGCCGCGGUCAUACGUAGGAUCCGAGCAUUAUCCGGAGUGACUGGGUGUUAAGAGUUGCGUAGGUGGCAUAGUAAGUAGCUAGUGAAAUCUGGUGGAUCAACCAUUCAGACUAUUAGCUAAACUGCUAAGCUCGAGACCGUUAGGGGUAACUGGAAUGUGUAGUGUAGGAGUGAAAUCCGUAGAUAUUAGAAGGAACACCGAUAGCGUAGGCAGGUUACUGGGACGGUUCUGACACUAAGGCACGAAAGCGUAGGGAGCAAACGGGAUUAGAUACCCUUGUAGUC